CAUCAUAACUUCAAGAUAUGCAAGUUUUGCUUUUGCUGGUAAUGACCUGAGAUUGUCAUCAGCAACAAUCUCAGCAUCAUUAAUUGGACAAACUGCAUCCCUUUUGAUUGGAGAAACCACCGAUGUCGUUCGAGUCUCGACGGAUCUCUUCUUCACCUUUCUUUCAAUUCCUCGUGUGAGUGUACGAGGGCCGUAUUCACGAGGACACCGGACGCCCAUUUUCCUACCCUGCCUGGGAGUAGACCUAUUCAGUACUUUUACUGUCAAAAGUACUUCACUUUUCUGCAGAUGGAACACUUGUGGAUGGUUGCCUGGCUGUAUUUCCCAGGCUUAAAGGUAGUUAAAUCAGUCAACCCGCAGGGGAAAGGUCAAGCAGAAACCGGCUACUCUUCUUCUUUCUUUUCCCAAUUUCGACACACUGCUACUCUCCAAAAUGGGCCAGUUUGCCAAUACGCAGUUGUAACACUACCUCAGAAAUGACCAGCAAGAAAACAAAAACAACCGAGCACUUUUGAAGUUUCUUUAAGCAGAUAACGGCACGUGUAUUGAUCGAAAUUUCGAAAACA